AUUAUUGUAAGAGCAUGGAUCUUCUCCGAUGCAUGUACAACACCACAAGAUGCCAUGCUGUGCAUGAGCGCAGGUCAUGCAAUGCACGAUGCGCAUAUUGUUUGAUGGCCAUCCAUCCUAUGAUGGAUGACAUCCAUGGAUACACCGUACCCUACGGUGCUGUGGCCUUAUUGUAGGAUGACAAUUCGAAUCCAAAUCAACUUACUCUACUAGAUAUAUCUCUUGUAACUCAAAAUGAGAGCAAUUAAGUAUUCUAGAUAUCAAGUAUAUUGAGGGCU
rnacentral:lncRNA from 1 species